AUUGAACGCUGGCGGCAGGCCUAACACAUGCAAGUCGAGCGGAUGAGAGAAGCUUGCUUCUCGAUUCAGCGGCGGACGGGUGAGUAAUGCCUAGGAAUCUGCCUGGUAGUGGGGGACAACGUUUCGAAAGGAACGCUAAUACCGCAUACGUCCUACGGGAGAAAGCAGGGGACCUUCGGGCCUUGCGCUAUCAGAUGAGCCUAGGUCGGAUUAGCUAGUUGGUGAGGUAAUGGCUCACCAAGGCGACGAUCCGUAACUGGUCUGAGAGGAUGAUCAGUCACACUGGAACUGAGACACGGUCCAGACUCCUACGGGAGGCAGCAGUGGGGAAUAUUGGACAAUGGGCGAAAGCCUGAUCCAGCCAUGCCGCGUGUGUGAAGAAGGUCUUCGGAUUGUAAAACACUUUAAGUUGGGAGGAAGGGCAGUAAGUUAAUACCUUGCUGUUUUGACGUUACCGACAGAAUAAGCACCGGCUAACUCUGUGCCAGCCGCCGCGGUAAGAC
rnacentral:rRNA from 1 species